CAGCCGCCGCGGUAAUACGAAGGGUGCAAGCGUUACUCGGAAUUACUGGGCGUAAAGCGUGCGUAGGUGGUGGUUUAAGUCCGUUGUGAAAGCCCUGGGCUCAACCUGGGAAUUGCAGUGGAUACUGGGUCACUAGAGUGUGGUAGAGGAUAGUGGAAUUUCCGGUGUAGCAGUGAAAUGCGUAGAGAUCGGAAGGAACAUCUGUGGCGAAGGCGACUAUCUGGGCCAACACUGACGCUGAGGCACGAAAGCGUGGGGAGCAAACAGGAUUAGAUACCCCCGUAGUCCCUGUCUCUUAUAA
rnacentral:rRNA from 1 species